AUUGAACGCUGGCGGCAUGCUUUACACAUGCAAGUCGAACGGUAACAGGUCUUUCGGGAUGCUGACGAGUGGCGAACGGGUGAGUAAUGUAUCGGAACGUGCCCAGUAGUGGGGGAUAACUACUCGAAAGAGUGGCUAAUACCGCAUGAGAUCUCUGGAUGAAAGCGGGGGACCGUAAGGCCUCGCGCUACUGGAGCGGCCGAUAUCAGAUUAGGUUGUUGGUGAGGUAAAGGCUCACCAAGCCGACGAUCUGUAGCUGGUCUGAGAGGACGACCAGCCACACUGGGACUGAGACACGGCCCAGACUCCUACGGGAGGCAGCAGUGGGGAAUUUUGGGACAAUGGGCGCAAGCCUGAUCCAGCAAUGCCGCGUGCAGGGACGAAAGGCCUUCGGGUUGUAAACGUGCUUUUGUACGGAACGAAAGACCUUCUUCUAAUACAGGAGGGUCAUGACGGUACCGUAAGAAUAAGCA
rnacentral:rRNA from 1 species